rnacentral:rRNA from 2 species
GACGAACGCUGGCGGUGUGCUUAACACAUGCAAGUCGAACGGUAAGGCCCUUUCGGGGGUACACGAGUGGCGAACGGGUGAGUAACACGUGAGUAACCUGCCCUCAUCUCUGGGAUAACAGUCGGAAACGGUUGCUAAUACUGGAUAUGAGCUUGCAAGGCAUCUUGUGGGUUGGAAAGAUAUUUUUUGGUUGGGGAUGGACUCGCGGCCUAUCAGCUUGUUGGUGAGGUAGUGGCUCACCAAGGCUUCGACGGGUAGCCGGCCUGAGAGGGCGACCGGCCACAUUGGGACUGAGAUACGGCCCAAACUCCUACGGGAGGCAGUAGUGGGGAAUAUUGCACAAUGGACGGAAGUCUGAUGCAGCAACGCCGCGUGCGGGAUGACGGCCUUCGGGUUGUAAACCGCUUUCAAUUGUGACGAAGCUUUUUUGUGACGUAG